rnacentral:rRNA from 1 species
AUGAGUUUGUCUUCCAUAGCAAGACGACUAUGUUGUUCAAGACAGUCAUCCACAAGUCGACUUUCAGUAGUUUUGGCUCGUCUGCACAGCACCGAGGCCGCAAAAGACGCUGGUGCUAAGAGGUACAAGUAUCCUGAAGUCUAUGACCCAUAUGGGCCUAUGCCACCAGCAUCAGAGAAGGUUGUGGGUCUAGCGGACCGCAUUGCCGCUCUUCCUCCUGAGGAGAUCAAGCAGAUAGCUCCAGCUCUCCUUCUCAGGCUAAACCAGCCAGCACCACAGGCAAUUUCUGGCCAGGGUUUUAGUAUGGGUUCUCAAGGUGGUGCAGGGGCUGGUGCCGCAAAGUCUGAAGAGAAAAAGGCUGAGAAGUUGGUAUUUGAUGUCAAGUUGGAGAAAUUUGAGGCUGCUGCAAAGAUUAAGAUUAUCAAGGAGAUCAGAACGUUUACCGAUUUGGGGCUGAAGGAUGCAAAGGAGCUGGUGGAGAAGGCCCCUGUCAUUCUGAAGCAGUCACUCACGAAGGAGGAAGCGGAAGCAAUCAUCGCAAAGAUCAAGGCAGCUGGUGGUGUUGCUGUGAUGGAGUAA